UGCGUAGGCGGUUUGGUAAGUCUUGUGUGAAAUCUUCGGGCUCAACUCGAAGUCUGCACGAGAAACUGCCGGGCUUGAGUAUGGGAGAGGUGAGUGGAAUUUCCGGUGUAGCGGUGAAAUGCAUAGAUAUCGGAAGGAACACCUGUGGCGAAAGCGGCUCACUGGACCAUAACUGACGCUGAGGCACGAAAGCUAGGGGAGCAAACAGGAUUAGAUACCCUGGUAGUCCUAGCCCUAAACGAUGAUCGCUUGGUGUGACGGGUACCCAAUCCCGCCGUGCCGCAGCUAACGCGUUAAGCGAUCCGCCUGGGGAGUACGGUCGCAAGGCUGAA
rnacentral:rRNA from 1 species